rnacentral:rRNA from 1 species
GACGAACGCUGGCGGCGUGCCUAAUACAUGCAAGUUGAGUGAUGAAGAUUGGUGCUUGCACCAAUUUGAAGAGCAGCGAACGGGUGAGUAACGCGUGGGGAAUCUGCCUUUGAGCGGGGGACAACAUUUGGAAACGAAUGCUAAUACCGCAUAAUAACUUUAAACAUAAGUUUUAAGUUUGAAAGAUGCAAUUGCAUCACUCAAAGAUGAUCCCGCGUUGUAUUAGCUAGUUGGUGAGGUAAAGGCUCACCAAGGCGAUGAUACAUAGCCGACCUGAGAGGGUGAUCGGCCACAUUGGGACUGAGACACGGCCCAAACUCCUACGGGAGGCAGCAGUAGGGAAUCUUCGGCAAUGGACGAAAGUCUGACCGAGCAACGCCGCGUGAGUGAAGAAGGUUUUCGGAUCGUAAAACUCUGUUGGUAGAGAAGAACGUUGGUGAGAGUGGAAAGCUCAUCAAGUGACGGUAACUACCCAGAAAGGGACGGCUAACUACGUG